rnacentral:lncRNA from 1 species
GAGAGAGAGAGCAAUAGUGCAUAGCCCAUCCGGCCUAACAUUAAAGGACCCAUUUAUGUACCCUGGAUUUGAGACGGACGGCAAAGCUGAGUAUUUUGCCUCCAUCCAUAGCUAAACAGAAAAUGUUGGCGCAUCUCCUAAUCGACGCUCAUGUCAAAGUGCCGAGGAGAAUCCUAAAAAUGCAGGCAUUUGAGGAAGUAUCAACCAUUGGUGUUGGCAGUAAGCCUUGAUCAGUCCAUUUAGUGAUAAAUCUCCUGGAUAGGUCAGAGCGGCUGAGGGUCCUCGGCGUAAGAUUGGAAAAAUAAGCUGUCGGGCACACAAAACAUUCAAAAAUGGAAAGAUUGGAAACAACACGCAAAUAUGGCGAAUUUGAAGAUCAAAAGCAGAACAUGUGGUAUUCUAAGGUCUUACCAGCUCGCUGCCACCGGUGUCGUAUUUGCCAUGAAGUUGCAAGGAACACCACUGCAUUAUAACGUAUCCAGAGAUGAGUAAAGACUCAUAUGCUCCGUGAAACUCAACUUUAU